rnacentral:lncRNA from 1 species
AUGGCCGCCAUGGCAACCAUGGGGCUGUCCCAAUUAGUAUCUGGCCCUACCCACAGAGCAGGGCACACACUUGACUUGGUUUUCUGCCAGGGAUGGGAGGAAGGUGGCGGUGUGGAGGAGCUCACCAUCGCUCCUUUGCCAUGGACCGACCAUCACCUGAUCAGGUUUAGAAUCACUGCGCCCCCCAACCUCCGCAGGGGUGGAGGACCCAAAAUGGUCCGCCCCAGGAGGCUUAUGGAUCCGGAUGGAUUCCUGACGGCUCUUGGGGAAUUUCCCGCCACCUCGGCUGGUGACCCUGUCGAUGCUCUGGUCGCCCUCUGGAACAAGGAGGCGGCUAGGGCAAUAGACACGGUCGCUCCGGAACGUCCCCUCUCAAGUACCCGAGCUAAACCAUCUCCUUGGUUCACCGAGGAGUUGGCAGCGAUGAAGCGAAAGAAGAGGGGACUAGAGGGUGUGUGGCGUUCGGAGCCGAGCGAGCCAAACCGAACACGGCUGUGUUCCUAUCUUAGGGCAUAUGCCGCGGCAAUAGAUGCUGCAAAGAACAUUUUCUUUGCAGCUAAUAUUGCGUCUGCAAAGAACCGUCCGGCGGAGCUGUCCCGAGUUGUCAAAGGUUUGUUAUAUCCCGUCCCUCAAGACGGGAUCCCUGACAACUCGGCAGCCCGCUGUGAAGCAUUUGCUCAGUUCUUUGCGGACAAAGUCGCUUUGAUCCGUUCUGGCUUUGACACCAUAUUAACGGCAGUCUCCGAGGAUGUAGCAAGAGCACCUGCUUGUCCUAUUUUGAUGGAUUCGUUUCAAUUGGCUCAGCCUGAGGACGUGGACAAGGUGCUUGGAGAGGUGAGGGCUACCACAUGCAUCCUAGACCCCUGCCCAUCCUGGCUAGUGAGAGAAGCCAGAGGGGGAUUGGCCGAGUGGGUGAAGGUGGUGGUGAAUGCCUCCCUUUGGGAAGGCAUAUUUCCAGCGAGCCUUAAAUUGGCUGUGAUCAAACCGCUGUUGAAGAAGCCAUCACUGGACCCCACUCAAUUGGAUAGCUAUCGGCCUAUUUCCAAUCUCCCCUUUUUGGGCAAGGUCAUGGAACGUGUGGUGGCCGCUCAACUCCAGGCAUUCUUGGUUGACACUGAUUUUCUAGAUCCGGCGCAGUCUGGUUUCAGGCCGGGGCAUGGUACCGAGACAGCCUUGGUCGCCUUAGUCGAUGAUCUACGCCGGGAACUGGACAGGGGAGUGUGUCCCUGCUGGUUCUGCUGGACCUCUCAGCGGCCUUCGAUACCGUCGAUCACGGUAUCCUUCUGGGGCGCCUUGCCGGGAUGGGUCUCGGAGGUACUGUUUUGCAGUGGCUCCGGUCCUUCCUGGAGGGGCGUUCCCAGAUGGUGUCAUUGGGGGACACCUGCUCGGCCCCAUAACCAUUGA